rnacentral:rRNA from 1 species
AACGAACGCUGGCGGCGUGCCUAACACAUGCAAGUCGCACGAGAAAGUUCUUCGGAAUGAGUACAGUGGCGCACGGGUGAGUAAUACAUAGGAACAUGCCUUAAUCUGGGGAAUAACUGCGGGAAACUGCAGCUAAUACCGCAUGAUCUCGAGAGAGCAAAGGUGGCCUCUAUUUAUAAGCUAUCGGAUUAAGAUUGGCCUAUGUCCCAUUAGCUAGUUGGCGGGGUAAUGGCCCACCAAGGCGACGAUG